ACUCGUUAGGGCGAGUAUAAAUAGAAGUUAAGCCCUAAGCGUUCACUCAACAAAGAGUGAGGUCUGG
rnacentral:ribozyme from 1 species